rnacentral:misc_RNA from 1 species
AUGAGACAUCUUUAUAAAAGCUCUAAACCGAACGGAGCUCAAGUUGAUUGCAUUUGUAACAAGCUGGACAUAAUCAACAUUUAUGCUUCAACUUAAGGAGAGAGUAUUGUAGAAUAGGAAAAUCAAUAGUGUAAAUUUAGAAUUAUAUGCCCUAUUUAGCUAGCAUAAUUGUAGGACUAAUAAAUAUAGGAGUCCUAUUUUGUUAGACAAUUGUACAUAAAAAUAUGUACUCGUAUGAUUCUUUGAAAAAUAGAAAAUUGGCAUUCUUCAUAUGAAUUAACAAUGACCCACUAAAGUGUAUGAAGCAAUGACGUCUAGCAAAUGAAGGGAAUACAAAACCCAUAUAUGCAUGGCCAAAAUUGUUUCAAGACAAACUAUGACAUAGUAGAUUGAACAUUCUCAAAAGGGACUUAAAAUAUUAAAACUUUUAGUAUGAG